rnacentral:rRNA from 1 species
GAUGAACGCUGGCGGCGUGCCUAAUACAUGCAAGUCGAGCGAACAGAUGAGGAGCUUGCUCCUCUGACGUUAGCGGCGGACGGGUGAGUAACACGUGGAUAACCUACCUAUAAGACUGGGAUAACUUCGGGAAACCGGAGCUAAUACCGGAUAAUAUAUUGAACCGCAUGGUUCAAUAGUGAAAGACGGUUUUGCUGUCACUUAUAGAUGGAUCCGCGCCGCAUUAGCUAGUUGGUAAGGUAACGGCUUACCAAGGCAACGAUGCGUAGCCGACCUGAGAGGGUGAUCGGCCACACUGGAACUGAGACACGGUCCAGACUCCUACGGGAGGCAGCAGUAGGGAAUCGUCCGCAAUGGGCGAAAGCCUGACGGAGCAACGCCGCGUGAGUGAUGAAGGUCUUCGGAUCGUAAAACUCUGUUAUUAGGGAAGAACAAAUGUGUAAGUAACUAUGCACGUCUUGACGGUACCUAAUCAGAAAGCCACGGCUAACUACG